rnacentral:rRNA from 1 species
UACGCCAGACUUGGAACCGGGAGAGGUAAGAGGUACUACAGGGGUAGGAGUGAAAUCUUGUAAUCCCUGUGGGACCACCUGUGGCGAAGGCGUCUUACCAGAACGGGUUCGACGGUGAGGGACGAAAGCUGGGGGGCACGAACCGGAUUAGAUACCCGGGUAGUCCCAGCCGUAAACGAUGCUCGCUAGGUGUCAGGCAUGGCGCGACCGUGUCUGGUGCCGCAGGGAAGUCGUGAAGCGAGCCACCUGGGAAGUACGGCCGCAAGGCUGAAACUUAAAGGAAUUGGCGGGGGAGCACAACAACGGGUGGAGCCCUGCGGUUUAAUUGGACUCAACGCCGGACAACUCACCGGGGGCGACAGCAAUAUGUAGGCCAAGCUGAAGACUUUGCCUGAAUCGCUGAGAAGAGGUGCAUGG